CAGUUGAAAAACAGAUUAAAGUCCCACUAAGCACUAUCCAGAUGUGAUGGAGUAUCGCUGCAGAAUGCUGUGGUAGCCAUGCUGGUUAAGUGUGCCUUGAAUUCUAAAUCAAUCACACCUCCUCCUCCAUGCUUCACGGUGGGAACCACACAUGCAGAGAUCAUCCGUUCACCUACUCUGCAUCUCACAAAGACACGGCGGUUGGAACCAAAAAUAUUACAUCUGGACUCAUCAGACCAAAGGACAGAUUUACACCGGUCUAUUGUAGAUUACUCGUGUCUCUUCUUCUUCUUGAUGUCCUUCAGUAGUGGCUUCCUUGCAGCAAUUCAACCAUGAAGGACAGGACACCAGGUCUACAUUAUGAAGGAGGACAGACACCAGGUCUACAUUAUGAAGGAGGACAGACACCAGGUCUACAUUAUGAAGGAGGACAGACACCAGGUCUACAUUAUGAAGGGGGACAGACACCAGGUCUACAUUAUGAAGGAGGACAGACACCAGGUCUACAUUAUGAAGGAGGACAGACACCAGGUCUACAUUAUGAAGGAGGACAGACACCAGGUCUACAUUAUGAAGGAGGACAGACACCAGGUCUACAUUAUGAAGGAGGACAGACACCAGGUCUACAUUAUGAAGGAGGACAGACACCAGGUCUACAUUAUGAAGGAGGACAGACACCAGGUCUACAUUAUGAAGGAGGACAGACACCAGGUCUACAUUAUGAAGGGGACAGACACCAGGUCUACAUUAUGAAGGAGGACAGACACCAGGUCUACAUUAUGAAGGAGGACAGACACCAGGUCUAUAUUAUGAAGGAGGACAGACACCAGGUCUACAU